rfam:Dipodomys ordii contig_65725, whole genome shotgun sequence.
GGGAAGGUGGCUCAGUGGUAGAGUGCUUGCCUUGCAUGCAUGAAGCCCUGGAUUCCAUUCCU